rnacentral:rRNA from 1 species
AGAACGAACGCUGGCGGCAGGCUUAACACAUGCAAGUCGAACGCUCCUAGCAAUAGGGGAGUGGCAGACGGGUGAGUAACGCGUGGGAACAUACCCUCCGGUUCGGAAUAACUCAGGGAAACUUGAGCUAAUACCGGAUACGGCCUUUAGUCGAAGGAUUGGCGGCGAAAGAUUUAUCGCCGGAGGAUUGGCCCGCGUCCGAUUAGCUAGUUGGUGUGGUAAUGGCGCACCAAGGCGACGAUCGGUAGCUGGUCUGAGAGGAUGAUCAGCCACAUUGGGACUGAGACACGGCCCAAACUCCUACGGGAGGCAGCAGUGGGGAAUAUUGGACAAUGGGCGCAAGCCUGAUCCAGCCAUGCCGCGUGAGUGAUGACGGCCUUAGGGUUGUAAAGCUCUUUCGCUCGGGACGAUAAUGACGGUACCGAGAUAAGAAGCCCGGCUAACUUCGUGCCAGCAGCCGC